rnacentral:rRNA from 1 species
AAAUUGAAGAGUUUGAUCAUGGCUCAGAUUGAACGCUGGCGGCAGGCCUAACACAUGCAAGUCGAACGGUAGCACAGAGAGCUUGCUCUCGGGUGACGAGUGGCGGACGGGUGAGUAAUGUCUGGGAAACUGCCCGAUGGAGGGGGAUAACUACUGGAAACGGUAGCUAAUACCGCAUAACGUCGCAAGACCAAAGUGGGGGACCUUCGGGCCUCACACCAUCGGAUGUGCCCAGAUGGGAUUAGCUAGUAGGUGGGGUAACGGCUCACCUAGGCGACGAUCCCUAGCUGGUCUGAGAGGAUGACCAGCCACACUGGAACUGAGACACGGUCCAGACUCCUACGGGAGGC